UACGUAGGGGGCAAGCGUUGUCCGGAAUCAUUGGGCGUAAAGAGCGUGUAGGCGGCCCGAUAAGUCCGCUGUGAAAGUCCAGGGCUCAACCCUGGAAUGCCAGUGGAAACUGUCGGGCUAGAGUCCGGAAGAGGCGAGUGGAAUUCCUGGUGUAGCGGUGAAAUGCGCAGAUAUCAGGAGGAACACCAGCGGCGAAGGCGGCGCUCUGGGCCGGAACUGACGCUGAGGAGCGAAAGCGUGGGUAGCAAACAGG
rnacentral:rRNA from 1 species